rnacentral:rRNA from 1 species
CAGUCGCCGCGGGAAUACGAAGGGGGCUAGCGUUGCUCGGAAUUACUGGGCGUAAAGCGUGCGCAGGCGGUUCGUUAAGACAGAUGUGAAAUCCCCGGGCUUAACCUGGGAACUGCAUUUGUGACUGGCGAGCUAGAGUAUGGCAGAGGGGGGUAGAAUUCCACGUGUAGCAGUGAAAUGCGUAGAGAUGUGGAGGAGUACCGAUGGCGAAGGCAGCCCCCUGGGCCAAUACUGACGCUCAUGCACGAAAGCGUGGGGAGCAAACAGGAUUAGAUACCCCAGUAGUCCCUGUCUCUUAUAC